rnacentral:misc_RNA from 1 species
AUGAAUAACUUUGGCGUGGUUGUAGCUGGCUCUUAGGAGCAUGUGCACGCCCGUCAUCUUUAUCUAUCCACCUGUGCACCCAAUGUAGAUCUGGAUAACUCUCGUGCUUCGGCGCGGAAACAAGGACUGCUGUGUCGCAAGGCCAGCUUUCUUUGAAUUUCCAGGUCUAUGUCUUUACAAACCCCAAUUGAAUGAUGUAGAAUGUAAUCAAUGGGCUCUAAGCCUAUAAAAACAAUA